GACGAACGCUGGCGGCGUGCUUAACACAUGCAAGUCGAACGAAGUGGCGAACGGGUGAGUAAUACGUGGGUAACCUGCCCUCCUUUUUUGUAUAAGCCUUUGAAACGCGGUCUAAUACCGAAUCUAGGGGGAUGGGCUCGCGGCCUAUCAGCUUGUUGUUGGGGUGAUGGCGUUCCAAGGCGGUGACGGGUCGCCGGCCUGAGAGGGUGACAGGCCACAGCGGGACGGGGAUACGGCCCAGACUCGUACGGGGGGGAGCAGUGGGGGAUAGUCGACAAUAGGGGAAAGCAUGAUGCAGCGACGCCGCGUGGGGGAUGAAGGCUUUCGGGUGGUAAACCGCUUGCGCUAACGAAUGGGUAGGUGGAGAGGAGGCGCCGGCUAAAUACGUGCCAGCAGCCGCGGUAAUUC
rnacentral:rRNA from 1 species